rnacentral:rRNA from 1 species
AUUAGAGUUUGAUCCUGGCUCAGAUUGAACGCUGGCGGCAGGCCUAACACAUGCAAGUCGAGCGGAUGAGAAGAGCUUGCUCUUCGAUUCAGCGGCGGACGGGUGAGUAAUGCCUAGGAAUCUGCCUGGUAGUGGGGGACAACGUUUCGAAAGGAACGCUAAUACCGCAUACGUCCUACGGGAGAAAGCAGGGGACCUUCGGGCCUUGCGCUAUCAGAUGAGCCUAGGUCGGAUUAGCUAGUUGGUGAGGUAAUGGCUCACCAAGGCGACGAUCCGUAACUGGUCUGAGAGGAUGAUCAGUCACACUGGAACUGAGACACGGUCCAGACUCCUACGGGAGGCAGCAGUGGGGAAUAUUGGACAAUGGGCGAAAGCCUGAUCCAGC